rnacentral:rRNA from 1 species
CGCUAGCGGCAGGCUUAACACAUGCAAGUCGAGGGGUAACAGGAGGUGCUUGCACUUCGCUGACGACCGGCGCACGGGUGCGUAACGCGUAUACAAUCUACCUUUUGCUGAGGGAUAGCCCAGAGAAAUUUGGAUUAAUACCUCAUGGUAUGUAGUAAUGGCAUCAUUAUUAUAUUAAAGGUUACGGCAAAAGAUGAGUAUGCGUUCUAUUAGCUAGAUGGUAAGGUAACGGCUUACCAUGGCGACGAUAGAUAGGGGCCCUGAGAGGGGGAUCCCCCACACUGGUACUGAGACACGGACCAGACUCCUACGGGAGGCAGCAGUGAGGAAUAUUGGACAAUGGGCGCAAGCCUGAUCCAGCCAUGCCGCGUGCAGGAAGACUGCCCUAUGGGUUGUAAACUGCUUUUAUACAGGAAGAAACACUCCCUCGUGAGGGAGCUUGACGGUACUGUAAGAAUAAGGAUCGGCUAACUCCGUGCCAGCAGCCGCGGUAAUACGGAGGAUCCAAGCGUUAUCCGGAAUCAUUGGGUUUAAAGGGUCCGUAGGUGGAUAAUUAAGUCAGAGGUGAAAUCCUGCAGCUCAACUGUAGAAUUGCCUUUGAUACUGGUUAUCUUGAAUUAUUAUGAAGUAGUUAGAAUAUGUAGUGUAGCGGUGAAAUGCAUAGAUAUUACAUAGAAUACCAAUUGCGAAGGCAGAUUACUAAUAAUAUAUUGACACUGAUGGGACGAAAGCGUGGGGAGCGAACAGGAUUAGAUACCCUGGUAGUCCACGCCGUAAACGAUG